rnacentral:rRNA from 1 species
GAUGAACGCUAGCGGCAGGCCUAACACAUGCAAGUCGAGGGGCAUCGCGGUGCAGCAAUGCACUGGCGGCGACCGGCGUACGGGUGCGUAACGCGUAUGCAACCUGCCCCGCACCGGGGGAUAGCCCGCCGAAAGGCGGAUUAAUACCCCAUGGUCCCGGGGGCCCGCAUGGGCAUCCGGGUAAAGCCUUGGCGGUGCGGGAUGGGCAUGCGUGCCAUUAGCUGGCUGGUGGGGUAACGGCCCACCAGGGCAACGAUGGCUAGGGGGUCUGAGAGGAUGGUCCCCCACACUGGUACUGAGACACGGACCAGACUCCUACGGGAGGCAGCAGUGAGGAAUAUUGGUCAAUGGGCGGAAGCCUGAACCAGCCAUGCCGCGUGCGGGAUGAAGGCCCUACGGGUUGUAAACCGCUUUUCCCCGGGAAGAAUAACCCCGAUGAGUCGGGGGAUGCCGGUACCGGGGGAAUAAGGGAUCGGCUAACUCCGUG